GCUGCCAGUUUCUGAAGCACUGGUGCAAAUGGAACCCAACUCUUGAUUUCCUCCCAACUGAAGAAGAAAGCAGUUACCUCUAUGCCGCGUCCUUAUGUAAGAUCGCAUCGCCAUCAUUCAUUUAUAGUAAGCAGGGGCAGAACUCAUCGGGCAACUGGUGUGGCCUGAGUUGUCCGAGCUUGGCAGGGAGGAGCCUGGUGAAUCUGAUCAAUUUCAGGGACUGGGACUUCCUGAAGAUAUUUUGAGUCGUGUAACCUUCCUGUUCAAAGGAGAGAGUGUUUCAAUUUGGGGAGGAAACUGGUCCACAAGAGCAGCCACCUCCUGGGAAGAAGGAACUUCAGUUGAGAAAAUGCCUCCAUCAGAUUGCCCUGUAGGAAAGUCUGUGGGGCAUUUUCUUGAUUAAUGAUUGAUGCCAGAAGGAACCCCCACUGGGAAAGUGGUCCUGGGUUGUAUAACCAAGCAGCCUGAGCAAGCUAUGGACAGCAAUCCAGUCUGCAGCUCUCCUCCAUGCCCCUGCCUCAGAGGCUCCUACUUCUCCUUCCCACCGUGAGUUGCAGUCUUGGAGUCCCUCAAGGACGGAAGGUGACCUAUAAGUCAAAUAAACCUUUGCCUCCCAAAGUUGUUUUUGGUCACGAUCUUUAUCACAGCAAUCACAAGCAAACUAGGACACAGGUGGUUGUGAGACACCUGACUUGGAACUAAGGUUUUCCUGGAAAAGCACGAAGUGCUCUUAACUGCUGAGCCAUCUCUCCAGCCCCGUUGCAACAUUCCGUCAACAAAGUGUUUCUGUGGUCCUCUCUCCCCUUUUCCAUGUCCCUAAGCCCUCUGCCCUCCCUUCAUUUCAUCUUCAUUGCCUGGUGUACCCGUUCUUGGUCUCCUUUCCAGAUUUCUAGACUUUAUCUACACUUACACCUGUUUGUAUGUACACGCAGACAUCAUUGUAGGGGGAGGGAGUUGUUUAUUCAAAAAUAUGGUUCGGUAUCAUGAGCAGGGCACACUCGAGAGCUCACCAAAGCUCGUGUGAGGGUCAGGUGUGUGGCCUGCUCUUCCUCAUCAGCCGUGGCUUCAGUGGGCCAAGAGGACAUAGCUCUAUUCUGAGUACGUAGUGGAGAAAAAUGGAUUGCAAAAGAAUUCAAGGGGAAGAAAGAAGAGAGUAAAGUUGGUCUUGCAUCAAAAUUCAGGUAAGAUUUGAUGACGAUUUAGACUGUUGUUAGCGAUAGAGAUGGAGAAAAAUAGACGAAUUUGAAAUACAAUUUGAGGUUACAGAUUUGCUAAUUCAAGUCUAGGGAGAUAAUUCAGCCAGGAAAAUAUGCUAACAUUGCAUGCAUGAGAACCUGGGUGUGAGCCGUAGAGGCCAGGCACAGUAAGUAGCACACACUUGUAAUCAAGGUGGACACAGGCAGAUCCCUGGGCUCACUGGCCAGCAAGCCUAGUGCACUUAAUGAGAUCCAGGAUGAUAAGGGAUCACGAAACAAAAAGAUAAGGGGGACCCUGAGGAAAAGUGCCCAAGGCACUUAGGGUGUUACUGCUGUGUAGAGACACCACGACCACAGAAACUCUUAUAAAGGGAAACAUUUAAUUGGAUAUGGCUUGGAGUUCAAAGAUUUAGUCCGUUAUCGUCAUGAUAACAAGCAUGGUGGCAUGCAGCAGACAUGGUGCUGGAGAAGGAGCUGAGAGUUCUACAUGCAAAUCCUCCGGCAGCAGGAAGGGAGAGACACUGGGCCUGGCUUGAGCAUCUAAAACCUCCAAGCCCUAUCUGGGCAGUAGUAGCACACGCCUCUAAUCCCAGCACUCAGGAGGCAGAGGCAAGCAGAUUCUCUGUGAGUUCAAGGCCAGCCUGUUCUACAGAGUGAGUUGACUGUUAUACAGAGAAACCCUGUCUUGAAAAACCAAAUAAGACAAAUAAGAAAUAGAGGGGGUAGGGGCGGAAAGACCUCAAAGCACACACCCUAGUGACACACUUCCAACAAGGCCACACUCUGUAGUAGUGCCACUCCCUAUGGGCUAAGCAUACAAACCCAUGGGUCUAUGGGAGCCAUUCCUAUAGGGGGCAAGCCUGUUAUCCCAGCACUGGAGAGAGAGAGGCAGGCAGAUCUCUGUGCGCUCAAGACCAGCCUAGUCUAUGUAGUGAGUUCUAGGCCAGUCAGCAUUACAUAGUGGGACCCUCUCUCAAAAAAGAAGGAAAAGAAAGGAAUGAAAGAAACCACGAGUAUAUGAAACAACAGUUUUAGUUUUCCAAAAGAAAAAUUGCAAAACAAUACAGAGAAACCCUGUCUCGUAAAAAACCAAAAAAAAAAAAAAAGAAAGAAAGAAAAGAAGAAAAUUUGAUUUUGUUUGAACCAAAUACGUGCAGAUGGCUAACUGUUGGUCACUAAUUUUAACUAUUUCACUUGCUCCACUUUUGUAGUGACUGAUGAGGCACCCAGCCCUCCAAUGAAACGAGUAUAUCUAUUUUGGAACUUCCUGUUGAAUUGUUCUUACACAAGGGAUUCUGCUAGAACAAUGUUAGACUCUCUCCCUUAGGAAACAGAUCCAGAUAUUUAUAAUCACUCUCCAAAAAAUAAAAAAGCCUACUAGUAGAAGAAAACAAAUCUUGUAGAGAGAGAGAGAGAAUAAAAAGAAAAAGAAAUGUGUACCAAAAAAUUUUACACAUAUACCAUUUGACACAAAAUUCUACAUUGAAACAAUGUAGCAUAAUGCAGUCAGUACAAGAUGUUUGAGUAAGUAUGUUCAUCACAAUUGUAUUAUACCACCACCAUCACCACCACACAAAAGGCUAUUUUGCUACUAAGGGAUGAGAGGUUAUUGAAGAAAGACCCUAGAAACCUACUAAGGAAAUGCUAUGCACUUAUUCAGUACUGACUGGGAUCUUACCAAGUGAGAAAAGGUUUUGCUUUGCUUGUUUUUGUUAUGGCCUCUGCACUUGCUACUGUUGGUGUUGUUCCUUUGUUUUCUGUGAUGAAGUUUCAGAUUUACUGUGAAGUUAAGGGUGGCCUUGAAUUCCUGAUCCUCCUGCCUGGGACUUCCAAGUGCUGAGAUUACCGAGGUUUGCCACCGUGCCUGUCUCCUUUUGCUUUCAACUCAGAAGUACAUGAAUCAGUGCAGGGGACAAAAGAUGAAAGAGGAUGUAGUACUCUCAGCUCCUCCUUCAGCAACACAUCUGCUUGCAUGCCGCCAUGUUCCCCGUCAUGAUGAUAAUGAACGGAACCUCUGAAGCUGGGUUCCCCCCUUGCAAAUGAGAAAGUCAGCAUAGAAGACAAUUCACGGUCACCAGACUGGACCAAAGAUCCAGACCCUGGAGUUCCUGAUGGACAGGAGAUGACACACCGGCCUCUUGCCCCAGGCUGUUGCUGUCUUACUGAACAUUGCAACGUAGGCAUAAACUUGUACACAUCACAGAGCCGAGUCUUGCUACAACACCAUCAAAAGUUCUCUGUCUUGGGCUAACUGCAUGUGCUUAAAUCCCAGCAUUUGGGAGGCAGAGGCAGGCGGAUCUCUGUGAGUUCGAGGCCAUCCCGGUCUACAAAGCGAGUUCCAGGAA